rnacentral:misc_RNA from 1 species
GAGUUCGGGUCCCCAGGGCCCAACUUCCAACCCUUUGUUUAUCUACCCUGUUGCUUUGGCGGGCCGCGGUCCACGCGACCCCGUCGGCCCCGGCUGGCGAGCGCCCGUCGGAGGCCAAUCAAACUCUUUUAACCGUGUCGUCUGAAGAAAAAAUAAAUAAGCAAAAACUUUCAACAACGGAUCUCUUGGCUCU